rnacentral:rRNA from 1 species
AUACGGAGGGUGCAAGCGUUAAUCGGAAUUACUGGGCGUAAAGCGCGCGUAGGCGGUUCGAUAAGUCUGAUGUGAAAGCCCUGGGCUUAACCUGGGAAUGGCAUUGGAUACUGUUGAACUAGAGUGCGGGAGAGGAGAGUGGAAUUCUCGGUGUAGCGGUGAAAUGCGUAGAUAUCGGGAGGAACACCAGUGGCGAAGGCGGCUCUCUGGACUGACACUGACGCUGAGGUGCGAAAGCGCGGGUAGCAAACAGGAUUAGAAACCCCAGUAGUCC